CACGUAGGGUGCGAGCGUUGUCCGGAAUUAUUGGGCGUAAAGAGCGCGUAGGCGGCCUUCUAAGUCGAACGUGAAAUCCCCGGGCUCAACCCGGGAACUGCGUCCGAGACUGGAAGGCUCGAAUCCGGGAGAGGGAUGUGGAAUUCCAGGUGUAGCGGUGAAAUGCGUAGAUAUCGGGAGGAACACCUGUGGCGAAAGCGGCUCACUGGACCACAACUGACGCUGAGGCGCGAAAGCUAGGGGAGCAAACAGG
rnacentral:rRNA from 1 species